rnacentral:rRNA from 1 species
UACGAAGGGGGCUAGCGUUGCUCGGAAUUACUGGGCGUAAAGGGCGCGUAGGCGGAUAUUUAAGUUAGAGGUGAAAGCCCAGGGCUCAACCCUGGAAUAGCCUUUAAUACUGGAUAUCUUGAGUUCGGGAGAGGUGAGUGGAACUCCGAGUGUAGAGGUGAAAUUCGUAGAUAUUCGCAAGAACACCAGUGGCGAAGGCGGCUCACUGGCCCGAUACUGACGCUGAGGCACGAAAGCGUGGGGAGCAAACAGG